GAUGAACGCUGGCGGCGUGCCUAAUACAUGCAAGUCGAGCGAAUGGAUUAAGAGCUUGCUCUUAUGAAGUUAGCGGCGGACGGGUGAGUAACACGUGGGUAACCUGCCCAUAAGACUGGGAUAACUCCGGGAAACCGGGGCUAAUACCGGAUAACAUUUUGAACCGCAUGGUUCGAAAUUGAAAGGCGGCUUCGGCUGUCACUUAUGGAUGGACCCGCGUCGCAUUAGCUAGUUGGUGAGGUAACGGCUCACCAAGGCAACGAUGCGUAGCCGACCUGGAAGGGGGAUCGGCCACACUGGGACUGAGGAACGGCCCAGACUCCUACGGGAGGCAGCAGUAGGGAAUCUUCCGCAAUGGACGAAAGUCUGACGGAGCAACGCCGCGUGAGUGAUGAAGGCUUUCGGGUCGUAAAACUCUGUUGUUAGGGAAGAACAAGUGCUAGUUGAAUAAGCUGGCACCUUGACGGUACCUAACCAGAAAGCCACGGCUAACUACGUGCCAGCCGCCGCAGUAA
rnacentral:rRNA from 1 species